rnacentral:ncRNA from 19 species
GGGAAGCCGGUCGAAUUCCGGCGCUGACCCGCAACCGUAGACCCGGCCUGGCCGGGUGAGCCGGAGUACC